UACGUAGGGUGCGAGCGUUGCCCGGAUUUAUUGGGCGUAAAGGGCGCGUAGGCGGUGAGAUGCGUCCGUUGUGAAAUCGCCCGGCUCAACUGGGCGGGGUCAGCGGAUACGGUCUCACUUGAGCAAGCUAGGGGGCAAUGGAAUUCCCGGUGUAGUGGUGGAAUGCGUAGAUAUCUGGAGGAACACCGGUGGCGAAGGCGGCGUCCUGGACCAACACUGACACUGAAAAGCGAAAGCCAGGGGAGCAAACGGG
rnacentral:rRNA from 1 species